rnacentral:rRNA from 1 species
GCCCUACGGGAGGCAGCAGUGGGGAAUAUUGGGCAAUGGGCGCAAGCCUGACCCAGCAACGCCGCGUGAAGGAAGAAGGCUUUCGGGUUGUAAACUUCUUUUAAGAGGGACGAAGGAAGUGACGGUACCUCUUGAAUAAGCCACGGCUAACUACGUGCCAGCAGCCGCGGUAAUACGUAGGUGGCAAGCGUUAUCCGGAUUUAUUGGGUUUAAAGGGUGCGUAGGCGGAAUGCCAAGUCAGCGGUAAAAUCGCGGGGCUCAACCUCGCUCCGCCGUUGAAACUGGCGUUCUUGAGUGGGCGAGAA